rnacentral:rRNA from 1 species
AUUGAACGCUGGCGGCAGGCCUAACACAUGCAAGUCGAGCGGAUGAACGGGGCUUUCUCCUGGAUUCCGCGGCGGACGGGUGAGUAAUGCCUAGGAAUCUGCCUGGUAGUGGGGGAUAACGUCCGGAAACGGGCGCUAAUACCGCAUACGUCCUGAUGGAGAAAGUGGGGGAUCUUCGGACCUCACGCUAUCAGAUGAGCCUAGGUCGGAUUAGCUAGUUGGUGAGGUAAAGGCCUACCAAGGCGACGAUCCGUAACUGGUCUGAGAGGAUGAUCAGUCACACUGGAACUGAGACACGGUCCAGACUCCUACGGGAGGCAGCAGUGGGGAAUAUUGGACAAUGGGCGAAAGCCUGACCCAGCCAUGCCGCGUGUGUGAAGAAGGUCUUCGGAUUGUAAAGCUCUUUUAGUUGGGAGGAAGAACAGUAAGUUAAUACCUGGCUGUUUUGACGUUACCAACAGAAUAAGCACCGGCUAACUUCGUG